rnacentral:lncRNA from 1 species
CUUAAAAAAAAACAUAACCAUUAUAAAAGAUCCUAACAACUAAAUACAACUCUAAUUCCAAUAACAAGUAUGAAAAUUACAUCUUUCAUGAAAUAAAAGUUUCUUGAAAUAUAAGAAAUGAUCAACCAAACUGUACCACAAAAUUAUAAUAAAUGAUCAACCAAACUGUACCACAAAAUUAUAAUAAAUGAUCAAUCAAUUAUUAUCCGAAAAUUGAAUAAAAACCUCAAAACAGUAUAAAUCAAUCCUGUAUAUGAUUUACACUUGGAGUGUUCUUAACAAAUAUCAAAUGACACCUUUAAAGAUCAAUAAUUUCUUUAUCAACUUCAGACAUAAGCUUUUUCCCAAUUGUUCCACCUGUGUCAUGGAAGGAAAAAAAAACUAAUACUCUACAUAUACUCACUUUUUUAACUAUAAAGUCAAUUAAAUAAAAACAUACAUUUAAUCUUUAAUCAUAAUCACAGUACAUAAAUGUGAUUUAUGUACUGCAUGAAGUAUCAUUCACUUUUAAUUAAUUAUAAGAACAACAUCAAGAAUAUAAGUAUAUUGAGAACAUAAGCACAUAAAUACACACUAAAUUUAUAUUAGAACAAUAUAUUGUCACUACAAAUUUAACAUUCCUACACAAAGUUCAACAAGCAUUGUAUAAAACACUGUAUUUUGGGUAUAACCAAAUAAAAAUUUCCUUUUACAGAUUAUCAUUCUCAUAGCAUUUGAUUCAUUCCGAUAGCAUUUUGGGAUCCUGCUUAUCUAAUUUUCUUACCUGAAUCAUUUCUCUAAAUUGAGAUAGUAGGAACACACAUAAGAACUUAAUUUUCAUUAUUCAUUUUUCUUAUAUUCAUUUGAUACCAUGAAAACCUUUUUUUGCUAAAAGGUGCAUGUCAAUUGUUCAAAGUUCAAACAUGAGAUAACAUAUGAGAAAUUUGAUCCUAAGGCUAGAAAACGGUCUAUCAUGUAACGUAACACAAAUACACAAGAAGAUAUCAGUCAUCAUGAAUUGUGAAAAACAAAAACCUAAACUUUAAAAACAUGUAGUCGCAAACAAAGAUAGGAAGAGGAAGUAAUCACAACAAUACCCCAAUGAGCAUGUUGAAAUACAUCGUGUGUUAGCUCAAAAUCUUGUUCAAUCCUCUCAAGAGCCAACAAUACCUGAAUACAAUUUAGAAAACAUUAAACCAACAAUAGUAUGUAAUUCAUAUGUUCAACUAACCAUCAAAGACAAAGGUAUUGCAUAGUCUAGUAAAAUGUGCAGCUAAAUAGACAAAGGGUCGAUGAACUAAACAAAUCUAGAGAGUAAAUUCAAUUACAUCAAACAAUCAUGUCAUCGACAUUGAGUUUUAAUAGGGGCUGAAAACACAAAAAUUAGUGUUAUAAAUAAUAUGGAAUUUUAGAGCAUUUGAAACAAUUGAACAUAUGGAGAAGUAUAUAUCAUGCUAAAUUGAUCCUAGAGAAAGGUUGUUGUUGGAUCGUGGGGAAUGAAAAGUCCAUCAGUGUAUGGGAAGAUAAUUGGAUUCCUAGUCUAAACAGUUCUAAACUCCUAACCCCAAAUAACAUGACAGUAGGUAGUUUGCUAGUUAGGGACCUAAUAGACUUAGAAUCAAAUUGUUGGAACUAAACUCUCAUUAAUAGGAUUGUUAAUCCUAUAGAUCAGGAAGCUAUUUUAAAAAUCCCCAUAACCAAUACUAAUGAAGAGGAUCAAUUUAUGUGGAACUACACAAAGGAUGGUAAAUACUCUGUUAAGAGUGGAUAUUAUGAGAUAAAAAAUUGGGAGAGGCAAACUAGCACAUGCUCUUCAAGUUCAGAUCAUCAUAAUAAAUUUUGGGACAAAAUUUGGUUAACCAAUAACACUCCUAGACAAAAAACACUUGUGUGGAGGAUUCUUAACAAAAUCAUCCCUGUUAGAGAAAGUUUAAGCAAAAGGGGAAUUAGAUGUAAUAUUCUUUGUCCCGUCGAUUGUUGUUUUCGCAGUCAUUUUGGAAUCAGACUGUGUGAUGAUAGUGAAAGGGACAAAUGCUAACCUUAGGAUCCGUACCAGAUGGGGUUUCCUGGUUCAACAAAUUAAAGACAAGAAGCAUUUGUUUGAGGAUAUGAAAGUUCAACACAUUAGGAGAGAAGGGAACCGGGCUGCUCACAUUUUGGCCUGAGGCUCAUAUUAUUUUAGAUAAUGUUUGGUUUGAGGAUAAUCCAUCGGCCAUUUCACACCAAUUGUACAUUGACAAUUUGAUUUAAUAUAAAUUCUUUUAGUUUAAAAAAAAAAAAAAAAAAAAACAAUUGAACAAAAGGUAAUCAACAACUUCAUGAAACCUAUUCAUGAGUGAGGGAUAAGGUCAACUAACCUUGUUGCAUUUGAGUAAAUUUUAUAGU